CCUAGUUUCUCAUCACAAUGAAUUUUCUUUUGAGUCUUAGCAAAGAUGCAAAAAGUGAGCGGGCAUGGAUAUUAAAUAACCCUGUGACUCUGAUUAGACUACCAGUGCAUAUUCCAGUAGAACUUCUCAGUGGCAGUCUGUGAUUGAGAGGAGAGAGAGACAUCUCGGCCCCCCAGUAAACCUUGCUUGCCCACACCAGGUGUGUCUGUGUCCCCUGAGGGUCUGGCCAGUGAAUUUUUUAAAGAUACUGAUUUAUUCUCAGGUAGAGCCAGGCACAUAGUGUAGUGUUACAGUUUAUGGCCUAAAUCUUAGGGCUAUAGAAAGCCUGGAGUAGAAGAGAAAUAGUGGAUUUUUUGUGGUGGCGGCGGUGGGUGUCUCAGCCCCAAAGAGUCUGUGCUAGGGAUAUGUAGAGCUUGAUGCCUCUGUUCAUGGCAGCCUGGGGGAAGGGCACGACCGGUAGAUCUGUGGCUGUGUGGAUUCACUGGCCACAACUAAUGCUCUUUUAACUCUGACAGAACCAUUGUCCCUCUCGGCUCCUAUCUACCCUAUAGGUCCUGUCCAAAGCCUGUUUAGUCAGACUGUAUUCAUGAGAGGAGGAUUAACCCUUUAUGGUCCUAACAGAUCUGCUUAACACUGCUGUAAACACAGUAAAGUUUCACCAAAUACUCAGUUCCAUCACUUCCCCUUGGAAAACUGUCAUGUUAGUAGCCUGUGUGUGUGUGUGUGGCUCAGUUACCUUCUCUGCAUUGAGAUUUUAUAUGAAACAGAGACUGCCACUUCCAUUUCUCCUUAUGCUGUGGGCACCUGUGUUUGAUUCUAGCAUGUAAAAUGAAGGACACUGUGGGCGCAUCUUUUUCAUGUCCUCUUCCAGGACAAGGUGGAAUCCUCUGGCCUUAAUGGGCGUCUGUAAUCAGCUUGCUUUUGAGAUGUCUUUGCAGAAAAGCCAGGGACUGAAUGAGCCAUGGAGACUAACCUACCCUCUCCCUUCUAGAGAUGGCAGCUGCAGAUCAGGGUUAGGGCAGCUUUGCUGUGUACCUACACUGUGCUCAACUGAGAACCCUUUUCCAGGGGUGCCAGUGUGGCACCUGUCACCAGUACUAAAUUCACCUAUUUUUUUUUUUUAAUCAAACCCCGUGGAGGCAACUCUAGCAUGCAUGUCCUUUGCUUUGCUGUAACGUAGCUAUAGAUGGCACUCCGGUAUCAGUUAGUAGUUGCGCACAGCAGUUUCCAUGUUGAAGGCAUACAGCACUGUGACAGUCUGAUUUGGGGGAGUAAUAUCAGUUCUGGCCAGUUUCUAAAAGGUACUUUUAUUUGGUUUCUGCAGUGAAUUUGUUGCACAGUGUGGACAAUAAUUAAUGGCUGGAAGGAGAGAAAUUUACUUUAACUGUUAUCCUACUCUUAUUCCUUAAAGACAACACAGUGGAAGCUUUACAAUGUAGGAAAUAUUGUUUCCAGUGUGAAAAAUAUUGACUUUAGGGGAAAAGCUAUUGGAAAAAUUCUUUGAAAUCAAGAGAUCUGAUUUUCCAGAAAGCUCUCUCUGCUCAUAUUAGGUACUUGUGUAUGUUAUAAUUAACAGGUGCUAAUCUCUUCGGGCUCUCUUUUAUGGUGCCUGAGACACCUGCAUUAAUGAUUUAGGGCCACGAGAUGUUGCCACAAGUCCUUUCUUGCUGUAGCCCAAAGAGAACAGAGCAGGAAUUUGUGUGAUACUCCUGAGCAAGGUUGAUGUCUGGUAUUGAAAAACUAAAGGUACCAAGCCGGGGUUGUCACUGUCUCUGUUCCCUUCCUCCACUGAGAAUUUUGAACUUGUGUGUGCAGAAUAGAGUAGUGUAUUUCAGAUACUAAGCAGAAGAAACAUUAGAAUUAGUGAGAAGUUAACACACAAGCGGGUGCAGCUAUUCUGCCCAUAUCUCUUCUCACAAAGAGUAGAGGGUCUUAAGUAGUGUGGACAACCUUGUGCAGGCUUGGAUAAAUGUCACCCUGAUCUCUGUUUUGCCUCUGUGCACAGAUCCCUAUCAUCUUUCUUCGUCUUUAGCCCUGGUAGUUUAAACUCCACAGGUCCCAGCAUCAAGACUUUGUUGAAAUCCAUCUGUCUCCUUCCACAAGGUUAGCAGAGAUCGUUGCCACGCAGUGCAAAAAUGUAGACACUUUUCAGGUUUUAAAAUGUUCCCCAUUAACUUAUUCUUCUGUUUGACCCCCAAUAUCUGAAAUACACUGAAAUCUCUGACCUUACUCUUUUGCUUGACAUAAAAAUCACGGGCAUGCUUUAGAGAUGUGCAUACAUACACAAAAAUUAUCUGCAGCCCGCAAGCCUGUAGUGUUUUAGUCUUUGUUUGAUGUGAAGAUUUUACCAGUUUGGAGCCUAGUUAAUUUUAAUGGUGCAAAAUAGAGCAUGACAAAAGCAUUGCUGUAUGUACUACAAUGAGCACUGAGAGUUGCUAAUAAAUGCGGUGGUGUCCUAUUUUUAAAAAACAAACCCUGCUUCGUAAGGGGAGGGAGGUUCUGGGUACCCAGAUCCUGGUGGUUGAGCCCAAAAGCUUUUGAACCAAAUUCAGCCCUGGUAAAACACUAGCUGCAACCAGGAAUUAAAUUUUCCUUUCUUGUUCAAUGCCUGCUGUAAAGUAUAACUAUGCUAAAUGUCACAGUAUCCUACCUACUCUUGCAGACUAAGGUCUGACCAUUACUAUCCCCUUGUGUUGAAUCCACCAAGUGAAAGUGUGAGCAGGAUGGGGUGAUGGACACAUUCAGCACCUUUGUUUCAUUCAGAGAUAGUCACACCACGUUCUGUGCAGGGGAUAGAAAACAAUAUCCAUAUCCAUAAACUCCCUGUGAUGAAGUGGGAAUUUUCUGUAAUAUUUUUAUGAAUCCUAGGCAUGCCUCAGUUUCCCUCUGCAUGUGGCAUUGCUAACCAGUGGGUGCAAAAGGAUGAACACUGCUCCUGGAACGGCACAGCAGACAGGAGGUGUGUGUAUCACCUUGCUGUUGGGGGAAAGAGGGGAAUGAAUAGGAUCAUUAAUGAGCUGGCUGAAACCAGCCCAAAUCUACAUAGGGUCCAGCAAGAGAGAGAGAUGCCCCAACAACUCCACAAUCAACGCCUAACAACAGGAAACCCCAGCAAGUGGGACUUGUGAAUGAAGCUGAAAAACAAGGUGGCCAGGUAAGUGGAAGAAGGGUGUGUGUUUUUGAUUUGGUUUUGGUUUUUUUUAGGAUCUCAGGUGCCUGGACAGGGCAGACGAAGGGUGGAACAGAGAGAAACAGAGGGGGAGCCCAUCACAGCUGGCUGGCCCAUCAGGGCACUGGAUUGACCAGGGUGGACAAUGGCUUAACUUCUGCUUCUUUGUAUUAACUUCUGGACUCUAAGAUUCUGAAUGCCAGAUGGAGAAACGGAGGCAUGGAGAGCUUAUGCGACUUGCCCAAAGCAACAAAACAGUGCUAUGAAUAAAAUUGCCUAGAUCCUUCCAUCCAAAGAUCUUGCAACACAUAGUAAAAAUUAUCUAGUUUGUUAUGCUUGGACAAUGAAAAGCAAAGAAGUCACUUUCACUUUUUUUGUAAUCAAUUUAACCUUCAGGUCUCAGUGCUGCAGAGUUUGGGUCUCAAUUCUCUAUGGGCAAGUUUAUUCUUAAAAAACCCUGAUUUCACUGGAAAUUUUUAAAAAUGUGAAAAUGUUCCUUUUGGU